AUUCUGCCCUGAAUUUCAUCUGUUACAUGAGCGUUGAAAUGUAAACAAGAGACUUGUAUAAUUUGGCGAUAUCAACUAAACACCCUACUCACCCCAUAAACCAAUCCAUCGUGUCCCGAAAGUAUUCUGACGAAAGAGGGAACAUUUUUUCGGCUUGAGCUUUUUGAACUAAAUUUGACAAAUUGGGCAAUUGACUGACUCAAAAUUAUACAAGAAAAUAAAUUAGAUUCAACUAUUUAAGAGAUUAAACUUAGGAUAAUCUACUUCGAUCAGGAUGAUCAAGACAAAGCUACUCUUAUUAGGAGAAUGCGAGCAAGGAAAAUCAACACUCGCCAAUUUUUUAUCAGAAACUGUCGCUGAAACUGGUCAACCUAAGACGUAUAAACCGACUCAAGGGUGCCGUAUUGUAGAAUUUGAGGUGAAGGACCUAAAGUUGAAAAGUGGUCGGAAAGUUAGUUGCGAAGUAGAAAUGUGGGAUGUCAGCGGUGAUCCUAGAUUCAGCGGUGGAUGGCCGGCAAUAGCCAAGGACACAUCAGGCAUAGUGUUUGUGUAUAGAACCGACACUAAUUUAAAUGCCAAGGAGAUGGAAGGAUGGUACAAUAAUUUCGCCGACAAGCAAGGCUUAGCUGACAAGCAGUGCGUUAUUUUUGGUAAUAAUAUUGAUGGUCGAACAAUCGAACCGAACAUACCGUAUAAAAUGAAUAAGAUUCGUUGCACUGUUAUUGACUUGAACAACGAUCCGGAGGGUGUUCGCAGUGAAUUUGACAAGUUCUUAACUGAUGUUUGUAUCAGUACGGACGAGGCGAGAGACAGCGAAGAAUUAAAACUAAUAAAUUAGUUAACUUCCUAUUUCGAACAUAAAUUAGAAUGAUAUUCGAAACCGCAUAAGGAUGCUUCUUUUUUAUAUUUUUUCUUUGUUUUAUUCGACUAUGAAGAGGCAAAAAUUUUGCACGUAAUCAAUUACAUCCCGAUGUUUUUAUAUAAUAUAUCACUAUCCGUCCAUAAGAGAAAAAGUACCCAUUUAAAUAAUAUUUAUAUCAACUCUCUAUGCGUAUGCACAGAGAUACAUACAUUUUACUUGAGAAAAAAUACCUAUAUACAGUAUACUAAAAAACAAUUAAUAAAUCAAUUCACCUUUUUCUUAUAUACACGUUCGAUUGUCGUUAAAAGUUGGUUUGUAACUUUUUGUUCCUGUCUCGUCUUUUUUAUUAUUUUCUAAUUUAUUUACCUUUAAUGUCACCUUUUUUGUUUUAAACUAAAGUAUAAAUGUGAAAAACAUUCGGCCUAUGAUUGAGUAAAUUUUAUGGAAAAAGAGUAUAAAAUAGAAAAGGUAUAUUAGAAGAAGACGAAGAAGACUAAAGCAGACGAUAUAUUUGCUCGAUAUAGAGCAGAUAUUUUACGCUUUCUUGUAUUAUCUUACAUACAAUGGUAAUGCUUUAUAGGAGUAAUUAUAAGAGCUAGUAUAGGCUUGGCUCUAAACUCAAACAUAGUAAGAAGGCAAUCUAUUCUAAGGACACAGCAUAUGUACACGUAAUCAUAUUUGACGCAAUAUCAUAGUCCACUCUAUUGACUCUGUACAUAAACAAAAAAAGCUAAUUGCUAAAUAAUAUACAAGAACAUUUAUCCUCCCCAACAGCGUAUUAUACCUCUAACAUAAGUCUCUUCAUCUAAUACUCUCAUAAGAAACAAUAGAUGUUAUAUUAUUACUUUUUUACAUCUUACAUAAUAAAUACUUCAGAAAAUAUACACUUAAAUGCACGCGUUUAUGCUUUUCGCUAUUAUCUUGAAAAUACUGUUGAUUUCACA
rnacentral:misc_RNA from 1 species